UAAUACGGGGGGAGCAAGCGUUGUUCGGAUUUACUGGGCGUAAAGGGCGCGUAGGCGGUCAGCGCAAGUCAGUUGUGAAAUCUCGGGGCUUAACCCCGAGCGGUCAACUGAUACUGCGCGACUAGAGUGCGGAAGGGGCAACUGGAAUUCUCGGUGUAGCGGUGAAAUGCGUAGAUAUCGAGAGGAACACCUGCGGCGAAGGCGGGUUGCUGGGCCGACACUGACGCUGAGGCGCGAAAGCCAGGGGAGCGAACGGGAUUAGAUACCCCGGUAGUCCUGGCCUUAAACGAUGAAUGCUUGGUGUCUCGGGUUUGAAAGUCCCGGGGUGCCGUCGCUAACGCAUUAAGCAUUCCGCCUGGGGAGUACGGUCGCAAGACUG
rnacentral:rRNA from 1 species